GCAGAGAUAUCCAAGUGGUUAAAGGAAUCUGAUUCAAGUUUACCCGCUUUCACGUGUAUUCGUGAAUCCUCAGACGCGUUAGCUUCAAGGGUUCGACUCCCUUUCUCUGCA
rfam:Ceraceosorus bombacis genome assembly, contig: Scaffold_218